rnacentral:rRNA from 1 species
AGAUUAAGUUAUUAAGGGCGCACGGUGGAUGCCUUGGCACUAGAAGCCGAUGAAGGACGUUACUAACGACGAUAUGCUUUGGGGAGCUGUAAGUAAGCUUUGAUCCAGAGAUUUCCGAAUGGGGGAACCCAGCACGAGUUAUGUCGUGUUAUCCGCAUGUGAAUACAUAGCAUGUGAGAAGGUAGACCCGGAGAACUGAAACAUCUUAGUACCCGGAGGAAGAGAAAGAAAAAUCGAUUCCCUGAGUAGCGGCGAGCGAAACGGGAAGAGCCCAAACCAACAAGCUUGCUUGUUGGGGUUGUAGGACACUCUUAUGGAGUUACAAAAGAAUGAGUUAGACGAAUAACCUGGAAAGGUUAAUCAGAGAAGGUAAUAAUCCUGUAGUCGAAAACUGAUUCUCUCUUGAGUGGAUCCUGAGUACGACGGAGCACGUGAAAUUCCGUCGGAAUCUGGGAGGACCAUCUCCUAAGGCUAAAUACUCUCUAGUGACCGAUAGUGAACCAGUACCGUGAGGGAAAGGUGAAAAGUACCCCGGAAGGGGAGUGAAAGAGAACUUGAAACCGUGUGCUUACAAGUAGUCAGAGCCCGUUAAGGGGUGAUGGCGUGCCUUUUGUAGAAUGAACCGGCGAGUUACGAUCUGAUGCAAGGUUAAGCAGGAAAUGUGGAGCCGUAGCGAAAGCGAGUCUGAAUAGGGCGAAUGAGUAUUUGGUCGUAGACCCGAAACCAGGUGAUCUACCCUUGGUCAGGUUGAAGUUCAGGUAACACUGAAUGGAGGACCGAACCGACUUACGUUGAAAAGUGAGCGGAUGAACUGAGGGUAGCGGAGAAAUUCCAAUCGAACUUGGAGAUAGCUGGUUCUCUCCGAAAUAGCUUUAGGGCUAGCCUCAAGUGAUGAUUAUUGGAGGUAGAGCACUGUUUGGACGAGGGGCCCCUCUCGGGUUACCGAAUUCAGACAAACUCCGAAUGCCAAAUAAUUUAACUUGGGAGUCAGAACGUGGGUGAUAAGGUCCAUGUUCGAAAGGGAAACAGCCCAGACCACCAGCUAAGGUCCCAAAAUAUAUGUUAAGUGGAAAAGGAUGUGGCGUUGCCCAGACAACUAGGAUGUUGGCUUAGAAGCAGCCAUCAUUUAAAGAGUGCGUAAUAGCUCACUAGUCGAGUGACACUGCGCCGAAAAUGUACCGGGGCUAAACAUAUUACCGAAGCUGUGGAUUGUCCUUUGGACAAUGGUAGGAGAGCGUUCUAAGGGCGUUGAAGCAUGAUCGCAAGGACAUGUGGAGCGCUUAGAAGUGAGAAUGCCGGUGUGAGUAGCGAAAGACGGGUGAGAAUCCCGUCCACCGAUUGACUAAGGUUUCCAGAGGAAGGCUCGUCCGCUCUGGGUUAGUCGGGUCCUAAGCUGAGGCCGACAGGCGUAGGCGAUGGAUAACAGGUUGAUAUUCCUGUACCACCAACAAUCGUUUUAAGCGAUGGGGGGACGCAGUAGGAUAGGCGAAGCGUGCUGUUGGAGUGCACGUCCAAGCAGUGAGACUGAGUGUUAGGCAAAUCCGGCACUCAAAAGGUCAAGCUGUGAUGGGAAGAGGAAAUUGCUUCCUCGAGUCGUUGAUUUCACACUGCCGAGAAAAGCCUCUAGCUAGAAAGUUGGUGCCCGUACCGCAAACCGACACAGGUAGUC